CAUGCAAUCAUUAACAAAGAAAGAGGAGUUUCCGUCGGGUUAAUUCAGGAUGUAAUCAAACAAAAUUCGUUCAUUUUAUGCUUUGACCGAAACUUCGCUUUGUAUUCUAGGUGCUAGGACUGUGACUCAUACACUGCUCAUCAGCAUGGAGUGGGUUACGUGUGCUGAUUGGUCACAAAGCUGGAUGUUGGGGGGUUCUAGGAAGUGAGUGACAGUGACAUCCCAGUGAGAAGAGGUCGAUCAAGUGGGGACAUCUUAAAAGCCAAGUGUACCGCACACGUCCUGCAACCAUUGCUGAACUAACCAGGAGGAUUGAAGAGGAAGUCGCUGGCAUUCCUCUUGACUUGUUACGUCGAACAAUGCAGGCUGUCAGAAUGUGUACGGAGAAAUGGACAACUGCACCUUCAUGAUGUUUCUUUAAGACAUAAAAUAUUGAUUACCAUCAUUAGUU